UGUAAACCAGAACUCAUCAUAUAUAGUAUGUACAAAUUCGAUGUCAAAUUGCUCGGCAGCAAUAAUCCAAUUGGUGUUACAAUAUUGAUGUGUCUAUGGAAAAGAAACACUUCAAUACUAAAGCUGCUUCACCAAUUCCUCGAUUAGCCUAGUCGGAGAGCGGCAGCCGUAGACGGAACCACACGGACCAGGCGGCAGCUACGGACGGUGGACCACGCCGAGGAGAGGUGGAGGGGAGUCGCCAAGUCGGGGGCCAGGAUUGUCGUCGUCGACCGUCAGGGGUGAAGGCGGCGUCGAGCGUCCGCGCAGGAGCCACCGUCGGGUGGGGCCGGCAGCAGGUGGUGGCGCUGGCCGCCGGGGAGCGCACGCGCCGGCCUCCGUCCCUGCGCCCCUGCUGCCCGCGCAGGCCACUUGGGACCCGCGCACCGACCGCCGUCCCUGCACCCCUGCUUGGCGCCGGGGACCAUGCGUCUACUUCCGAUUCGCGAGUGGGGCGGCGGGCGGAAGCCACGGGAGUGCGAGAUGGGGUCGCGAGGUGAGGCGGCGGGCGGAGGCCAGGGGAGGGGAGGGGAGGGGAUCUGAGUCUAGAGAGGAAAGGGAUAGGGUUUCUUCUGCUUUUAUAUUAUGGGAGUGUGAUUGGAGCCAUUGGAUCAGAGAUGAAUGGUCAAAAAUAGUUGGGCUCUUUGGGCUGAAAUGGGCUU